AACUAGCAACCCAAGUGGUGGUCGUUUUUAUUUGGCUUAAAGCGUCCGUAGUCGGAUAUGUAAGUUUCCUGUGAAAUCCUAGCGCUUAACGUUAGGGCUUGCAGGGAAUACUGCUUAUCUUGGAGCCGGGAGAGGUUGGGGGUAUUCCUGGGGUAGCGGCGAAAUGCUAUAAUCCUAGGAGGACCACCGACAGCGAAGGCACCCAACUAGAACGGGCUCGACGAUGAGGGACGAGAGCUAGGGGAGCAAACCGG
rnacentral:rRNA from 1 species